rnacentral:rRNA from 1 species
AGGAAUAUUGGUCAAUGGGCGAGAGCCUGAACCAGCCAAGUAGCGUGAAGGAUGACUGCCCUAUGGGUUGUAAACUUCUUUUAUAAAGGAAUAAAGUCGGGUAUGCAUACCCGUUUGCAUGUACUUUAUGAAUAAGGAUCGGCUAACUCCGUGCCAGCAGCCGCGGUAAUACGGAGGAUCCGAGCGUUAUCCGGAUUUAUUGGGUUUAAAGGGAGCGUAGAUGGAUGUUUAAGUCAGUUGUGAAAGUUUGCGGCUCAACCGUAAAAUUGCAGUUGAUACUGGAUAUCUUGAGUGCAGUUGAGGCAGGCGGAAUUCGUGGUGUAGCGGUGAAAUGCUUAGAUAUCACGAAGAACUCCGAUUGCGAAGGCAGCCUGCUAAGCUGCAACUGACAUUGAGGCUCGAAAGUGUGGGUAUCAAACAGGAUUAGAUACCCUGGUAGUCCACACGGUAAACGAUGAAUACUCGCUGUUUGCGAUAUACUGCAAGCGGCCAAGCGAAAGCGUUAAGUAUUCCACCUGGGGAGUACGCCGGCAACGGUGAAACUCAAAGGAAUUGACGGGGGCCCGCACAAGCGGAGGAACAUGUGGUUUAAUUCGAUGAUACGCGAGGAACCUUACCCGGGCUUAAAUUGCAGAUGAAUUACGGUGAAAGCCGUAAGCCGCAAGGCAUCUGUGAAGGUGCUGCAUGGUUGUCGUCAGCUCGUGCCGUGAGGUGUCGGCUUAAGUGCCAUAACGAGCGCAACCCUUGUUGUCAGUUACUAACAGGUUCCGCUGAGGACUCUGACAAGACUGCCAUCGUAAGAUGUGAGGAAGGUGGGGAUGACGUCAAAUCAGCACGGCCCUUACGUCCGGGGCUACACACGUGUUACAAUGGGGGGUACAGAGGGCCGCUACCACGCGAGUGGAUGCCAAUCCCCAAAACCUCUCUCAGUUCGGACUGGAGUCUGCAACCCGACUCCACGAAGCUGGAUUCGCUAGUAAUCGCGCAUCAGCCACGGCGCGGUGAAUACGUUCCCG